UGGGAACGUCGGGUCAGGCCUUGGGCCAACGUAGGCUCUCUCGCAGUUCCUCCGCCUUCAGGAAGGUCUUUUUGGCAGGGGCCUUACGGGUGCGCGCUUCGGUCCUGGAGGCCUUAUCUAAGCCUCCUCUCCAUCAGCGCCACCCGUCUGGGGCCCGAAAGGAGGGAGCUUUCCCUCUGUCCCCCAGCCUUUGGACUGUCACCAAACAAGCCAUUCGUUCACCAAAUACUUAUUAAGCGCCUACCAUGUACUAUCCUAGAUUGUCUUGUGAUAUUUACAAUCAGAAGGCAGGAGAGAGAACUAAGAACAGAGAGCAUGUUCUGAGAUGUCUGCUUUGUUUGCAGAAAUGAGGCUUCUCCCCAGGACCAGCAUUCCACGAAGGCAGCCCUUUUCUAGAUGGAGAAAAUAGAACCUGAAGGCACCCGUUUCCCUAAACCGCUCUCGCUCAUGUCUGUCAGAGAAAGGAAAUGAAGCAGUGAAAGCAUCCUCCCAAAAGGGACUUUUAAAUCCUUCUACCUGGGCUGAACUACA
rnacentral:lncRNA from 1 species